CGCUGAGGGGCGUGGGGCGAAGCGGAGCAGAGCAGUGCGGGGCUGGUGGUGGGGAGGCCCCGCUCACUCCCCCCUCCCCUUAGUGGCAGGGGGACGAGCCCUUCGGAGCAGCGGGUGGGGCGUGGCUCAGUCACCGCCGCCCAGGUCCUCCCUGUGGGGGUCCCCGCCAGCGGGAAUGCGGUGGAGCCGCCAGGCACGGUAUCCUGCUUGGCCAGGCCAGUGCCCGGAGCAGGACGACGUAGGGCUUGGUCCUGGGCCAGAACACCUGCCUCCUGCAGCCUCUAUGAAAUGUCCCAGUAUGGGUGAACGUUUCUACUGCUCUGGCCAAAAAAUCAAGGAGGAUAAGAGUAUUCCUCUCAGACACUGAUAGUUACCAAGCUUCUGUAGAUUUGCCCUUAAGGGUCUCAUCCUGCACACUGGCUGAACAGCUCUGUCUGACAAGGAGAUGAACCAGGAGGAGUAAGGAAGACAUGUUCAGGGAGGUGCUGCAAUCAUCUGAUGCUGCUGAUAGCGAGCAGAGAGCAUGGAGAGAGGCUGUCAAUGAAAAACUGAGAAUGGAUAGCCAGGAGAAGAAACAGGCAGGAGCGGAAGAUACAGCUGAUUGAGGACCAAACAGACAUACUGAGGUCCCUGAUUGUGCUGCAGAUCCAUGUUCGCCUCCCCUGCAGCCCAUACAGAACUGCCUUCCAUGCCCUCCCCACACACAUUCCUCAUGUGUUCCCAGGCUGUCACAUUACCCCAUGCACUCCAACCCUAGGGACAUGUUUCACGAUGACACCUGAACAUACAUCCUGUUGGAAGACCUCAUUUCAAAGAGUGCUCUUCAUUGUCAUGUCCCUGGUAGGAAAUAGAAAUGUUUGUAUAGCUGUAUACAUAAAAAUGUAUGUAUAGAAAGAAAAUGAAU